UGGGGAAUAUUGGACAAUGGGCGCAAGCCUGAUCCAGCCACGCCGCGUGAGUGAUGAAGGCCUUCGGGUCGUAAAGCUCUGUGGGGAGGGACGAACCGCUGCAGGUUCAUAGCCUGCAGCAUGACGGUACCUCCUUAGCAAGCACCGGCUAACUUCGUGCCAGCAGCCGCGGUAAUACGAAGGGUGCAAACGUUGCUCGGAAUUAUUGGGCGUAAAGCGCACGUAGGCGGCUUUGCAAGUCGGAUGUGAAAUCCCUCGGCUUAACCAAGGAAGUGCAUCCGAAACUGCAGAGCUUGAGUACUUAAGAGGAUCGCGGAAUUCCCGGUGUAGAGGUGAAAUUCGUAGAUAUCGGGAGGAACACCAGUGGCGAAGGCGGCGAUCUGGGAAGAUACUGACGCUGAGGUGCGAAAGCGUGGGGAGCAAACA
rnacentral:rRNA from 1 species